GUCCCUGGAUCGAGUCCCGCAUCGGGCUCCCUGCUCAGCAGGGAGUCUGCUUCUCCCUCUGACCCUCCCCCCUCUCAUGUGCUCUCUCUCAUUCAUUCUCUCUCUCUCUCUCUCUCUCUCUCUCUCUCUGUCUCAAAUAAAUAAACAAACAAACAAACAAACAAAUAAAUAAAUAAAUAAAAUCUUAAAAAAAAAAAAUUCCCCCCGCCUUACAAAGCAGAGACUGGUGAAGGGUCCUCCAAGUGCCCUCUGGAAAUCAAGAGCUUCUGUAUCAAGAGGCUGGAAAACGCAUCUUCCCCUUCUUCCUGGUGAAUCCAAUUCUAGGGGUUGAUUCAAAGGAAAUCAUGUUUUAGAUGCUAAAACGUAAAGCUUACUUUUGCAAAAAUGUGCAUCGCGGCAUAGGGUUUAGGAAUCCCUUGUGGCAGACCGACAACCGUGUGUCCCUCACGUCCCGGCACGUGUGCACCCUCACGUCCUAUGACUUCGAUGCUCCUGCUAUCCAGAGGUAGGCUUGAUUGCUCUGUCCCUUGAUUUUGGACCGGGUCUUGGGACUUGUCUUGACCCAAAGAAUAGAGCAGAAGUGACACUUGGCUGGUUUCACAGCCUACACCUGAAGAGGUGGUCUGCCGGCGUUCUCGACCUUCUUGGCAUGCCGUCCUGAGACCUCCACGUAAGAAAGCCAGUCUAGCUGACUGGAGCAUGAGAGGCAUUGACAACAGAGGCAGCCCGGUGCUCGGCGGCACCGACUGCCAGACGUGUGAAAGUUGACCCUCUGGCCGAAAGCCACUGCUUGAGUGAGCCCGGCGUAAACCCGCAGAACCCAAGGGGCCACCCAGGGCAAGCACCAGGAAGUUAUCGAUAAAGAAAUGCUGUUUCGAGCCAUUGCGGUGUUAGGAUGAUGCACCCUGAGGAUCAGCUAGCUGCGCAGCAGCGAUAGAUACCGUGCACACAGAUACACACCACACAACACACCACACCACACCCCCCCCCCACACACACGUGUGCAGAAAACCAAACCAACGAAACAAACCAAAACUCUGUAGAACCCUGCACCAAAUGUUGAGGAAACAACGGCCCACCCUCACAAGAAACACCUGCACGCUACAUGUACAAUGCAUAGGGAGCCUAUACUUGCAAGUGCUUACUUGCAUGGGAAACAUUUCACGAUAACAUGAGUCUCAGAUGGCCCAAGCGGGGUUCUUUUGACAUGUCUGAAUUGUGUACACAAUUAGAGAAAGCCUGCUAGGAGACUGGGUGAUCAGAAACUAGGAAGCUCUUUGGUUCCCUCAGUGAAGCCCCGACUUUUGGGGAGGAACCAACACUCAGGGAGAUGCUCUGGUCUUCAUUUGGUUGGUUGGUUGGUUGGUUGGUUGGUUGGUUGGUUGCUGCAGCUUUUGCUAUCUUUGCAUAAAACCGACCCUGUUUCCAUUGGGAAUGGAAAACAACUGACGGGUGGGAUCUGUACACGGUAAUGCUGCUUCGCAGUUGCAUUUGUUUUACUAAAAGAGGGAGAUUUGAACAUUGGGUCUUUCGUGUCCUCUCCAUUCAUGUCCUCUCCACAAAUAAGACUGAAACAAAGGCUAAAAUUUGUUUGCAUCUUGUUUGUGUCUAUGUGUCCGUAUGUGUUAUACAUGUGAGGUAUUUCCUCCACCUCCGGGUGCUAUUGCUAACAUCCAUUUGUAAAGGAGCUCUAUUUAAUGAGUUCUAUUUUUAUUUUAUUUUAUUUUAUUUUAUUUAUUUUAUUCUUUAAAGAUUUUAUUUAUUUAUUUGACAGAGAGAGACACAGCGAGAGAGGGAACACAAGCAGGCGGAGUGGGAGAGGGAGAAGCAGGCUUCCCGCCGAGCAGGGAGCCCGAUGCAGGGGCUUGAUCCCAGGACCCUCGGAUCAUGACCUGAGCUAAAGGCAGACGCUUAACCACUGAGCCAUCCAGUCAAAAUAAUGAAGAAGAGGAGGAAGACAGGCCGAUGCUAGAAAUCUGAAAUCCACUCCUCCUCCUCCCCAAGUACAGGCACCAGAACCGAUGCCCAACCCACUGGCUUCCGGAGGGCUGAAAAGCCACCACAGACAAAGCCUAUUAAGCAGAAGGAGAUGAAGAAAGGGGCGGAGGCGGAGGCGGAGGCGGAGGCGGAGGCGGAGGCGGAGGCGGAGGCGGAGGCGGAGGCGGAGGCGGAGGCGGAGGCGGAGGCGGAGGCGGAGGCGGAGGCGGAGGCGGAGAAGAAAAAAAAGAAAAGGCCCUGCUACCAAAUACUGGCUGUCUCUGCAGAAGUCUGGACUCAAGGUCAACUGAUAAUGGCUGCAGCCUAUGAAGAAGCGAGGUCCUGAUUCCUUACCUGAGAAAAGGAGCCUAAGACCCCAUCCAGGUUGUACCAGCUCUCAGAGCAUGCCCACAGCCUCUUCUCCUUGUCCUCAGAUAACCUCCUGACAUCAGGGACUCAGUUUUGCCUCAUUCAGAUGUCAGGUCUCCACCCCGAAGUAAACAUGGGAAUCUAUGAGAAAUUAGAUCCCAUCCAGCAAGAGCUGAAUCCGAGUCCUCUGCUCACCCCACGACGGAAAAGAAUAUGCACAGGCCUGCAUCCCUCUUCUCCUUCUCCACCAUGUCGGAAGAAAAGGUGGCCCUCCCUCCUCCCAUCAGAACCCAAACCCGAGAUAAGACUUAGAUAUAAAGGAAACCAGCAUACUGUUUUGAACUCUAUAUACACUUGUAAAAAACGAGCAGCGGCAAGGAAACACACAAACCACCACCCCCCCCCCCCCCACACACAGGUGCAAGGAGGGUGCGCUGACUCGCUGAAUCUCCCCCUUUUCUCCCGAGAGGCAUCCCCCCCAUCCCCCGCCCCCCCCCGAAGAUGUCCUCCCUAUGCCGGAAGGGGAGUGAGUGACGUUCUUUUCUUCCUUUUUUUUUUUUUUUAAAUUAUUCUUUUUAAAAGACUUUUAUUUAUUUGAGAGGAGGGGUGGGGGGAGGGAGGGGGGAGGGAGGGAGAGAGAGAGAGAGAGAGAGAGAUUGAGAGAGAGAGAAGCAGAGUCUCCGCCGAGCAGGGAGCCCGAUGUGGGGCUGGAUCCCCGGACCCUGAGCUCAGGGCCUGAGCCGAAGGCAGGCGGACGGUUCACGGAUUGAGCCAGCCAGGCGCCCCAGCUUUCUUGUUUCUUUGUCUGCCUGCUUGCCUGCGUGUUGGGUCUGUGGAUGUCUGAUGCCUGCCCUCUGAUUUCGUGGGGAGGUGGGCCGUCUUUCCUCCUUCCAAUGGCCUUUGCGCAUUUGUCAAACUUCUGUCGGGCUUGGGCCUAUCUGUUUGGGUAUCUGUGGCGUUCCAUCCACCGACCUGUCUCUUUUGUCUGCCAACAUCACA